CUCGCAAAGGCCACGCCCCGGAAGUCCCCGCCCCUAACCAGCCUCCGCUUCCUCGAUGCCCACCCGGUGGCUUCCAGCAGCUCCUCCAACUAGGAGUCUCUUUUGCUUCCAGGCCUUUCCGGGAGAUUUCUUUAAUGUUUGACUUAACAGAAGACAGAUGGAUUCUCACAUCUGCUUAUGCUUUCAAGAUAUUAUGAGAUAUUGUCUUGAUUAUGUGAAGAAAAUGCCUCACACAGAGACAGCCAGCGAGAGAGGGAACACAAGCAGGGGGAAUGGGAGAGGAAGAAGCAGGCUCACAGCAGAGGAGCCCGAUGUGGGACUCGAUCCCGGAACGCCGGGAUCAUGCCCUGAGCCGAAGGCAGACGCUUUAACGACUGCGCUACCCAGGCGCCCCUUUUUUUUUUUUUAAAGAUUUUUUUUUAUUUUAAACAUUUAAUAAAGACUGUAUUUAAGAGCUGGCUUGCA
rnacentral:lncRNA from 1 species